UGGAUAUUUAUUGGCUCAAGAAGUCCUAUCAGAAAAAGAAAGAAGUAUGUUAAUGAGGUAUAAUAAUGAUAUUAUGUAGAAAUUUAAGUCUCAUAAAAAUUUGGGAACAAAGAAAAUAAAAAAUACAUACUUUGCAAAUGGGUCUAAGAAGAUUGAAAAAUAAAAUAACAUCAAUGCAUCAAUUAAUUGAUUACUUAAAAGAAAAAUCUUUGAUAAGUGAAUCAUCUGAAUUGACCAUAAAGGCUUCCCUAGCUGGGCCAGCACAAAGUAUUUUUGAAAGAAUGUUAAAAGGACCUGCCACACAAAAAUCCAAUCCUCUGCUACUAUCCUUUGCUUUAACAUUGUAAUUUUAUUCACC